rnacentral:rRNA from 1 species
UACGGGGGGAGCAAACGUUGUUCGGAAUUAUUGGGCGUAAAGAGCUCGUAGGCGGUCUGUCGCGUCGAUCGUGAAAACUUGGGGCUUAACCCUGAGCUUGCGGUCGAUACGGGCAUGACUGGAGUUCGGCAGGGGAGACUGGAAUUCCUGGUGUAGCGGUGAAAUGCGCAGAUAUCAGGAGGAACACCGGUGGCGAAGGCGGGUCUCUGGGCCGAUACUGACGCUGAGGAGCGAAAGCGUGGGGAGCGAACAGG